rnacentral:rRNA from 1 species
GUAACACGUGGGCAACCUGCCCUGUAGACGGGGAUAACACCGAGAAAUCGGUGCUAAUACCGGAUAAUACGGAAUGUCGCAUGACGUUUCGUUGAAAGGCGGCGCAAGCUGUCGCUACAGGAUGGGCNCGCGGCGCAUUAGCUAGUUGGUGAGGUAACGGCUCACCAAGGCGACGAUGCGUAGCCGACCCGAGAGGGUGAUCGGCCACACUGGGACUGAGACACGGCCCAGACUCCUAUGGGAGGCAGCAGUAGGGAAUCUUCCGCAAUGGACGAAAGUCUGACGGAGCAACGCCGCGUGAGCGAAGAAGGCCUUCGGGUCGUAAAGCUCUGUUGUUAGGGAAGAACAAGUAGCGCAGUAACUGGCGUUACUUUGACGGUACCUAACGAGGAAGCCACGGCUAACUACGUGCCAGUAGCCGCGGUAAUACGUAGGUGGCAAGCGUUGUCCGGAAUUAUUGGGCGUAAAGCGCGCGCAGGCGGUUCCUUAAGUCUGAUGUGAAAGCCCACGGCUCAACCGUGGAGGGUCAUUGGAAACUGGGGGACUUGAGUGCAGAAGAGGAGAGCGGAAUUCCACGUGUAGCGGUGAAAUGCGUAGAGAUGUGGAGGAACACCAGUGGCGAAGGCGGCUCUCUGGUCUGUAACUGACGCUGAGGCGCGAAAGCGUGGGGAGCAAACAGGAUUAGAUACCCUGGUAGUCCACGCCGUAAACGAUGAGUGCUAAGUGUUAGAGGGUAUCCACCCUUUAGUGCUGUAGCUAACGCAUUAAGCACUCCGCCUGGGGAGUACGCUCGCAAGAGUGAAACUCAAAGGAAUUGACGG